UAGCGGAGGAAAAGAAACCAACAGGGAUUGCCUCAGUAACGGCGAGUGAAGCGGCAAAAGCUCAAAUUUGAAACCCUCGGGAUUGUAAUUUGAAGAUUUGGNAUUGGAGAAAGCUAACCCAAGUUGCUUGGAAUAGUACGUCAUAGAGGGUGACAACCCCGUCUGGCUAACCGUUCUCCAUGUAUUGCCUUAUCAAAGAGUCGAGUUGUUUGGGAAUGCAGCUCAAAGUGGGUGGUAAACUCCAUCUAAAGCUAAAUACUGGUGAGAGACCGAUAGCGAACAAGUACUGUGAAGGAAAGGUGAAAAGAACUUUGAAAAGAGAGUGAAAUAGUAUGUGAAAUUGUUGAUAGGGAAGGAAAUGAGUGGAGAGUGGCCGAGGUUUCAGCCGCCCCUCGUGGGCGGUGUACUGCCGACGCCGAGUCAUCGAUAGCGAGACGAGGGUUACAAAUGGGAGCGCCUUUCGGGCGUUCUCCCCUAACCCUCCACACUGCCACCGACGACAUAAUCCACCCAUUUCACCCGUCUUGA
rnacentral:rRNA from 1 species